rfam:Brachypodium distachyon strain Bd21 chromosome 2, whole genome shotgun sequence.
GUACUACUCCCUCCGUCCCACAUCAAGUGACUCAAAUUUGUCUAAAUAUGGACGUAUCCAUAUACUAAAAUAUGUCUAGAUACAUGUAAUAAAAAGUCACUUAAUAUGGGACGGAAGGAGUACAAU